CAGAGAUCUAGGCUUCAGAAUGUUCUUCUGCUGAGCAUAUUUGGGCAGGCUAAAUGGAGAAGAAUCCAUUGAUGGUCUCGUUGCUGAUCUUGUGGCUCCAUCUUGACCGAGUGAGCAGCAAAUCCAAUGUGGAACAGAAUCCUCUGUUACUGCAUAUUCAGGAGGGAGACAGCACCAAUUUCACCUGCACCUUCCCUUCCAGCUCUUUUUAUGCCUUACACUGGUACAGAUGGAAACCUAUAGAAAGCUUCAAAGUCCUGUUUGUAGUGUCUUUAAAUGGGGAUGAAGAAGAAGGACGAUUGAGAGUCACACUUAAUACUAAAGAGGGUUACAGUUACUUGUACAUCAAAGAAUUCCACCCUGAAGACUCAGCCACAUACUUCUGUGCCUUGACACAGUGCUCUUUAGGCACCUGCACUUCAUACCCAAACCUAUGGCUGGUGCUGCUCUGA